GUGGAUUAGAUACCCUGGUAGUCCACGCCCUAAACGAUGCCAACUAGGUGUUGGGGAAGGAGACUUCCUUAGUACCGUAGCUAACGCGUGAAGUUGGCCGCCUGGGGAGUACGGUCGCAAGAUUAAAACUCAAAGGAAUUGACGGGGACCCGCACAAGCGGUGGAUGAUGUGGAUUAAUUCGAUGCAACGCGAAAAACCUUACCUACCCUUGACAUGUCAGGAACUUUCCAGAGAUGGAUUGGUGCUCGAAAGAGAACCUGAACACAGGUGCUGCACGGCCGUCGACAACU
rnacentral:rRNA from 1 species